rnacentral:rRNA from 1 species
UACGUAGGGGGCAAGCGUUGUCCGGAAUCAUUGGGCGUAAAGAGCGUGUAGGCGGCCCGAUAAGUCCGCUGUGAAAGUCCAGGGCUCAACCCUGGGAUGCCGGUGGAUACUGUCGGGCUCGAGUCCGGAAGAGGAGUGUGGAAUUCCUGGUGUAGCGGUGAAAUGCGCAGAUAUCAGGAGGAACACCAGUGGCGAAGGCGGCUCACUGGCCCGGUACUGACGCUGAGGCGCGAAAGCGUGGGGAGCAAACAGG